CACAAAUUGGGCAUGUUCCCAGAAGAUUUAUUACGGCUAAGAUUUUUUCAAGCAUGUACUUUGAUCAUUCUAAUAGCAUGUGAUGUUUUACUUCAAUCAUUCACCAAAUAUUUGCUGAGCUUCAUCUCUGUGCAAGAACCUGAUUUAGGCACCGGGAUUCAACCAUGCAGCAAGCAGAUGUGGCUUCUGACCUGAAAGAGUUUAGAGAUAAAUGGGGAACCCACAGAAGUGAACAGGUAAAGAUGGGUGUCUGAAGUGGAAAUUUAGAGAAAGAAGCCAGGAAGAGAGCCAGCAGACUUUUCAACUGUCUUAUUUGGGAAAUACGGCUGCCUGGUUCAACUUGAGGGACAUUUUCUGGAUCUGGACAGUGUUUCCACAGGACUGGAAGUCUCACACAACAGCAUCUCAAUGUCUUGGAUUUAAAAGCAGCAAAGGGAUAUGGCAUCAUGGUUGCUGAAAACACAAGGACUACUGAUCCCUGGUUGGAAGAAGCCAAAACUGGUAUGGAGGAGAAAAGGGUUUGAACUGAGCGGAGUUGCAAAAAAUCACUGCAGGAGCCAUCCCAGACGUGAGAGGCAUCAUCAAGACCCAGCAAUUCCCAAAGUAAGUCAUGUUCAGCUGACAGUGAGAAUGAAGCAUCUUCAGCAAAUAAUGCCCAUCACUGAAAACACACUACGGUUUGUGACUUUGGGCCACCAGGAUGCACAUGGAGCCAUUUCACCCAAGGUAUUCAAAGGCUCUUUUGGGAGUGUCUAUGCUUCUUUAUCCACAUGCUGUCUUUUCUUUCCGGCUGUUAGUUAGCUCUUUGAACUAGGAGUGUGAGAGGUGGGGUACUUAAUUUAACAAAAUAUAUCCUAAAGGUUCUUACAAUUCUUUCAGUGGCCAGGCUCACUGCUUGCUGAUAUUGUCAAUAAAAGGUUUAAGAAAAAUGUGAAAUUUUUGGCUAAAAUUAAGUUUUUGUAUUCCCUGUGAAUCUACUACCUCAUCCCUACUAAUGAAAGAAAACCUUAAAAUGUUGUGUAACUUCAUGUCAUUCAGAAGGGCAAUUAAAAGAA